rnacentral:sRNA from 1 species
GGAAGGACGACCUUCCCAUAAAUACAUAAAGUUCAGGGAAAACUACAGUGAAAACAGAAUUGUCAGGAUCAACUGUGUGACUGAUAAGCCAAAUGGAGAUAGGAAAUGUCUGAGGCCAGGAGCUCUGCUCUCACGUUUCUCCUUUUUAGCACUGGCAGGGCCAUGGGCUAAUAUAUGUGCUGGCAAGUCUUCCAACGAGAUCCGGACGUGUGACCGCCAUGGCUGUGGACAGUACUCUGCUCAAAGAAGUCAGAGGCCUCACCAGGGUGUGGACGUCUUGUGCUCUGCUGGAUCUACUGUGUAUGCACCAUUCACUGGAAUGAUUGUGGGCCAGGAGAAACCUUAUCAAAACAAAAAUGCUAUCAAUAAUGGUGUUCGAAUAUCUGGAAGAGCUUUAAAAAAUGUAACCCACCAUCAGAUGAAACAUGAGGACAGCUACUCAUUUUUAGGAGUCUUAGAGUGUCACUAUUAUUGGCUACAAGAAUGUUCAAUGAAGGAUCAUCCACUGGUGUAUCUUCAAUUUUGAUUGAUGAUAAUGAUUUUGAGUUGAUAAAAACAACUCACAUCCCUUUAGAAGAUAAACAGGCCAGCAGAAAUACUUGCUAGAAGAGUGCCAUGACCCAGUUUAUAAGAGAGAGGCUGCUAUUCCUCUAUCCUCCUCCAUAGGAAAAUUUCCAUCAGCCAGCUUUACCAACUACCAUAAUUUAAUGCCUAUCAUAUAUCAGGCACUAUUCUGACUCUGGAUUUAUAAUGGUAAACAAAAUAGAAUCUCUGCCUUCAAUGAGUUUAUGUUUGGUAUAAGGAGAAGAGAA